CUUUCUCCACACACCACUUCUUCCAAUCCACCUCCACCGCUUCAUCCUUCCUGAUUUAUAAAACUCAUAAUCAGAUCCACCGGUAACCACCAACUUCAGCCCACACGAACAACCAACGUUUCCUUUUAACAUGAUGAAACUCCUGAGUAGUUAUACUAAACCUAAACCUUCAUACUCACUCUUUCCCACAACCUCUAUCUUCAAAUUAAUCAGAAUUCAAAAACCCUCUCUCUAGAUUUAAGCCACAACAGAAAGAUCAACUUCAAACCAAAAAACACAUAUGUGUGUGUAAAUGGAUAGUCUGAAGAGAGAGAGUCGGAAAGGCACGACAGCCAGCCACCAUCACAGAGCGACGGCGGAGACGUGGGUUCUUUCCUUUCUCAAGAUGGGUUCUUGAACCCAUUGUGGCUACUGAGAUUCCAUAGAUCUAUUGCUUGUCUUCUUAUAAUGGUAUAGGUAUCAAACCCUUCUUUAAUCACUAACUAUAUGCUAGAUGGGGUUUUGUUUUCACACAAUUGUCUAUCAUUAUGCUGUUCUUUCGUUGACUAAAGUUUUGUUGUAAUGGUGUAUGUAGAUGCACACCAAGUUAAAAUUAAAAAUCGAAUGAAAUGAACAGUCUUUAUGCCAAGGUUUGUUUUUAUUGGUCUGUUUGGAUGGUUAUCCCUCCUCUCGACCGCCGGAACUGCUGCCGAUGAGCACAGAUAUGCCGCCGCUCCAUCCUGUCAUUCGGUACAACGCCGUUGUUUCCUGUGAGCAGUGGUUUUCCGGACGAACAUGGAUGGUUGCGACAUUGGCAUCUCCGGUUUCAACAUCGGCUGUCGAUUGUGGUGACGGUGACCGGUUGUCUAUGAUGAGUUCUAAACUUUUAUCCUGGGGUUCUUUCUUUGCUUGGCUGUGAUGAGUAUAAUAUAUAAAAUUAAAAACCAAACGAAAUGAACAGUUAUCAGGGUAGUUUAGGAACUUUACAUUCUCACACAAAGGCAGAACGAUGCCGUCAAGGCCGGUUAUAAGGCAGUUGAUGGUAGCAACAGGGCGUUGUCUAGACGUGGUGGUGGCGGACGACGGCGGCAAGGGGGUGGAGGAGGUGGUCUGUCGUCUGAUAGUGGCGGUUGAAUUUGUGAGGGGCGAUGGUUUCCGUUAGAAUAUUAGGGCUCCAAUAGGUAGCUUUAGGUUAAUUUUUUUAGAUUUGAGUGUUCCUUUGGCUGUUCAGCUGGUGGGUACGGUUACAGUAACAAGAUGGAGGCGGCGCGCCUACGGUUGUGACGGGUCUCUGUUUGACUCCAGCAAGAAUUCUGGUAAGCCUCACUUCAAUUGCAUGUUUCUUUUAUAGUUAGAUCGAUUUUCUUUGUUUUCGUUAACCUAUUUUUGGUGUUACACAACUCCAGUGAAGCUCCGAUGAGUUCUUUGGUGACUGAUAUGGACUAUGGUUGUUGUUGUGUAAGUUUGAUGCGUUGUUUGCUGUGGUUUGUUGGUACUGGUUGUCAUUUUAAGUUCAUGAUCUGGUUAUAUGAUUUGUAUUAAUUCUUUGUUGAGAUUAUAGUUUGAUUUUAGUAUUAUAUGAUGUUUUAGAAUCCAGAUCUCUAUUAUCUUAGUGUGAACAAACUAUUUGAUUUUACUUGUAAAUGCAUAUUGGUCAGUGAAUCUCGCUAUUUGAUCUAAACUGUCAUCCUUAUUUUUUUUGUUGGUUAUCUAAAUUAAAUGUUCGUGUUUUGAGAUGUAGAGGAGUAUAUGGGUUUAGUAACAUUUAUGACGAUUCUGGUAUGAGGUGAUGUUUCAGAAUCCAGAUAUGUGUGCAGUCGGCUAAGGGUGCAGCUUUAACACCACCGUUAAUCAAAGUAAGGCCUUAUCGAGUCAGAUGGGAAGCAACAGAGAGAGAAAGGGCAAAGUCGGAUGGCGGAGUUACCGCGUUGCUUUGACAAUAACCUCACUCCAGUGACGACGACAUGCGGCGGCUAGGACUUCUAAGAUUCCGUUGAGUUCACCUUUUAUCAUGAACAAAUGCAUAUAAACUUUAAUAUUAGUUUGUAAUUUCAAUUUAUAAUGCGCAAAAUUGCCUCCAAAAUUCGUUAACACAUCAUGUGAUAGUGUGAUGUCAUAUUUAGGGCUCAUAUUGUUCUUGGUGUUUGUUAAUUUCCUUUGUUUUUUAAAUGUAUGCAGACUUACCUAUGUUGGUCUUAUUGUGAUUUAAGCUUCAGAAUCGAUUUCAAGUGUUUCAUCUCAGUAAAUCAAUUUUAGCAGCUAUCUGGUUAUGCUUUUUAUAAGGUAUUUCCCCGUCAUCAAUCCAGCCACCGAACGUCAACGGGAUGGAAGUUCCUGUUGCUGAUGCUCUGCUUCAUUGCCUUUUGAAGUUAUAAUCUUUUCUAACUCAUUUUCACCUUGAGCUAAACUUGUUUGAUCUUAUUUGCUAAAGGUUUCUUGAGCUAAUUUCGAUCAGUGUAUUGAUGAGCCAGUAAUGAAGCAUGGACUAUUUUAGUACCUGAGUACAAAAAUCAUUUUAUACGAGGGAUUCUAUUCAUGUAACCUAAAUCCAUUUACUUUUGCUAUUUAUUAUAUUUAUGUAUUGUAAUAACCUUUACUAAA